rnacentral:tRNA from 1 species
CAAAAUGUAGCUUAACAAAGCUCUCGCUUACACCGAGAAAAUACCCGUGAAACCCGAGUCAUUUUGA